CAGCCGCCGCGGUAAUACGUAGGGUGCAAGCGUUAAUCGGAAUUACUGGGCGUAAAGCGUGCGCAGGCGGUUAUAUAAGACAGAUGUGAAAUCCCCGGGCUCAACCUGGGAACUGCAUUUGUGACUGUAUAGCUAGAGUACGGCAGAGGGGGAUGGAAUUCCGCGUGUAGCAGUGAAAUGCGUAGAUAUGCGGAGGAACACCGAUGGCGAAGGCAAUCCCCUGAGCCUGUACUGACGCUCAUGCACGAAAGCGUGGGGAGCAAACAGGAUUAGAUACCCCCGUAGUCCCUGUCUCUUAUAA
rnacentral:rRNA from 1 species